rnacentral:rRNA from 1 species
AUGAACGCUGGCGGCGUGCCUAAUACAUGCAAGUCGAGCGAACAGACGAGGAGCUUGCUCCUCUGACGUUAGCGGCGGACGGGUGAGUAACACGUGGAUAACCUACCUAUAAGACUGGGAUAACUUCGGGAAACCGGAGCUAAUACCGGAUAAUAUAUUGAACCGCAUGGUUCAAUAGUGAAAGACGGUUUUGCUGUCACUUAUAGAUGGAUCCGCGCCGCAUUAGCUAGUUGGUAAGGUAACGGCUUACCAAGGCAACGAUGCGUAGCCGACCUGAGAGGGAGGGAGCCACAAUGGGAACGGAAACCGGACCCGAACCCCUGGGGGGGGAGCAGGGGGGGAAUCUUCGGCAAGGGGGAAAGGUUGAAGGGAGCACCCCCGGGGGAGUAAUAAAGUUUUUGGGACGUAAAAACUUUUUUAUGGGGAAAAAAAAAAGGUUAAAGAACAACUGCACGUCUGGAGGGUACCUAAUAAGAAGACCACGGCAAACUACGCG